UCGCAACACCUACGGCUUCCACUAGAUGUCAACGAUCUUUCUAAAGUUGUUUGAAGCGUCUAUGAUAAACAGAGAGCAAAUUAGAAUCCAAGGAAGUUGACAUGUCAUCACUUCAUUUUUUUGCGCCUGCGCAUAAAUCUGAGAAGCGUGAGUUUUCAUCAUUGUUUAUCUAGACAUAGAAUAGGUUGUGUGAAAAUAUUACUGAUGUUUAACGUUAAAAAUGGACCAAAAGAUUAAUGCUAAACAACAUUUGACAUGUUUGAACGAACAUAAAUAGAUUAUUUACUAGGUUUUUUUAGCUUUUCGGCGUGAUUUUACACUCCCCCCACCACGUUUUGUGGGAGCAUAAUGAACGCUAAGUACUUGGUGUUAUUUGGACAUAAAUUAUGAACUUUGUCAAAAGAAACCACAUUUGUUCCGGACCUGGGAUGCCUUCCGGACCUGGGAUGCCUGCCUUCUGAUGGAGAUAAUCAAAGACAGAACCCUGAUGACUGGAGAGACGUCAACAGAACCCUGAUGACUGGAGAGAGGUCAACAGAACCCUGAUGACUGGAGAGAGGUCAACAGAACCCUGAUGACUGGAGAGAGGUCAACAGAACCCUGAUGACUGGAGAGAGGUCAACAGAACCCUGAUGACUGGAGAGACAUCAACAGAACCCUGAUGACUGGAGAGAGGUCAACAGAACCCUGAUGACUGGAGAGAGGUCAACAGAACCCUGAUGACUGGAGAGACGUCAACAGAACCCUGAUGACUGGAGAGACGUCAACAGAACCCUGAUGACUGGAGAGACGUCAACAGAACCCUGAUGACUGGAGAGACGUCAACAGAACCCUGAUGACUGGAGAGAGGUCAACAGAACCCUGAUGACUGGAGAGAGGUCAACAGAACCCUGAUGACUGGAGAGACGUCAACAGAACCCUGAUGACUGGAGUUUAAGAUCAAACUAAAUGCCUCACCUCUUCUGCUCCUUGCUAGAGAGGUUUUGGGUUGGCUACUUCGCUAUGCUAUAUCAUGUCAUCUUUUUCCAUUUCAAUGUUUAAGAAGAUGAGAAAAAAGAAGGAACCCGCACAUUGCUUUUGACAGUAUCACUGCUCUUUAAUAAGCUUUGCGUAUCGGCCUCACAGCCUUUCACGGCCUCACGGUUUCAAGGCCUCUCACAGCCUUUCACGGCCUCUCACAGCCUUUUACGGUCUCUCACAGCCUCACGGUUUCACGGCCUCUCACAGCCUUUCACGGCCUCUCACAGACUCACGGUUUCACAGCCUCUCACAGCCUUUCACGGCCUCUCACAGCCUCACGGUUUCACGGCCUCUCACAGCCUUUCACGGCCUCUCACAGCCUCACGGUUUCACGGCCUCUCACAGCCUUUCACGGCCUCUCACAGGCUUUCACGGCCUCUCACAGCCUCACGGUUUCACGGCCUCUCACAGCCUUUCACGGCCUCUCACAGCCUCACGGUUUCACGGCCUCUCACAGCCUUUCACGGCCUCUCACAGCCUCACGGUUUCACAGCCUCUCACAGCCUUUCACGGCCUCUCACAGCCUCACGGUUUCACAGCCUCUCACAGCCUUUCACGGCCUCUCACAGCCUCACGGUUUCACGGCCUCUCACAGUCUUUCACGGCCUCUCACAGCCUCACGGUUUCACAGCCUCUCACAGCCUUUCACGCCUCUCACAGUCUCACGGUUUCACGUCCUCUCACAGCUUUUCACGGCCUCUCACAGCCUCACGGUUUCACGGCCUCUCACAGCCUUUCACGGCCUCUCACAGCCUCACGGUUUCACAGCCUCUCACAGCCUUUCACGGCCUCUCACAGUCUCACGGUUUCACGUCCUCUCACAGCUUUUCACGGCCUCUCACAGCCUCACGGUUUCACGGCCUCUCACAGCCUUUCACGGCCUUUCCUUAUUUUUUUCUAGUUUUAUUCAACUGCACCUGCAGGAAAGAUGUGUUAGUUCCUUAUGAAUUUUGAAUGUUUAAGAAGAUGUUCAUUGGCUGUGACUGAAUCCAAUAAUAUUUGAUACAUUUAUCAUUCCUUUUGAUUCAUAAAGAGUGUUUCUGUGUGUUUGGUAGCGUAAACAUGUUAACAUCCCAGAGGCCAUAGUCCAAAAACUGUGAACAUUCUCUUUUAUGUAGAGGGGAGUUAGAUAGAUAACACAAUGUACCUGAAAUCACCUCAACUGUCUGUCUCCAUUAGGAGUCUAUUAUAUCAAGGGCAAUAUGGGCUAUAACAAGCCUUAAAGAAAAGACAUGGGAGAAAUCAAAAACCUUCAGUAAUGACAGCAUGGAGUUAAAUCAACAGUCCAUUCAUUCUAACAAAUGCAUGGAGUUAAAUCAACAGUCCAUUCAUUCUAAUGACAGCAUGGAGUUAAAUCAACAGUCCAUUCAUUCUAACGUCAGCAUGGAGUUAAAUCAACAGUCCAUUCAUUCUAAUGAUAGCUACCUGCCUCCCCCCCAUCUAACCACUAGGCUACCUGCUCUAACCACUAGGCUACCUGCCCUAACCACUAGGCUACCUGCCUCCCCCCUCUAACCACUAAGCUACAUGCCUCCCUCCUCUAACCACUGGGCUACCUCCUCUAACCACUAGGUUACCUGCCUCCCCCCUCUAACCACUAGGUUACCUGCCUCCCCCCUCUAACCACUAGGCUACCUGCUCUAACCACUAGGUUACCUGCCUCCCCCCUCUAACCACUAGGCUACCUGCUCUAACCACUAGGCUACCUGCCUCCCUCCUCUAACCACUAGGCUACCUGCAUCCCUCCUCUAACCACUAGGCUUCCUGCCCUAACCACUAGGCUACCUGCCUCCCCCCUCUCUAACCACUAGGCUACCUGCUCUAACUACUAGGCUACCUGCACUAACCACUAGGCUACCUGCUCUAACCACUAGGCUACCUGCCUCCCCCCUCUAACCACUAAGCUACCUGCCUCCCUCCUCUAACCACUGGGCUACCUCCUCUAACCACUAGGUUACCUGCCUCCCCCCUCUAACCACUAGGCUACCUGCUUUAACCACUAGGUUACCUGCCUCCCCCCUCUAACCACUAGACUACCUGCCUCCCCCUCUAACCACUAGGCUACCUGCUCUAACCAUUAGGCUACCUGCCUCCCCCCUCUAACCACUAGGCUACCUGCCCUAACCACUAGGCUACCUGCCUCCCCCCUCUAACCACUAGGCUACCUGCCCUAACCACUAGGCUACCUGCCUCCCUCCCCUAACCACUAGGCUACCUGCUCUAACCACUAGGUUACCUGCCUCCCCCCUCUAACCACAAGGCUACCUGC
rnacentral:lncRNA from 1 species